GUGUAUUUCUUACCCUAGGCUACCAAUUGCAAGAGUUGCAUGUUGUGAGAUAGAGAUACAAUGCAUUCCCUCGAGGGACAGAGUACAAAACUGAUGGGUUUGCUCUGAAUGCACCAGUCCAGAGCAAUCUGCAGAGGAGAAUGAAGGCAGGGACUUCGUCUGAAGCUGCUGCCUCCAAGGGGCCUUUGGGUCUACACAGCCAGAACAGCACACUCCUGAAGACAAAAUGCCGUGUUGUCUGAAGCUUUGACUGCACCACAGGCACUCUGCAAAAAUAUUUUACAGCUACAAGGGUUUCACCCCCACUAUGUUUGACUGUGUUUGGAGCUCAAGCACAGGUUGCCCACCUUGGUAGCACCGAUGCCAUUGAACUGGUGCUAGCAGCAGUGAGGGGUGGCUGUAAAUUUUGCCUCGUGUGGACAAGGCUUACAAGG